AUCCUCUUGUUUUUCUGUCCCUUCGUCGCCUCUGUAUUCAACCUGUAUAUAAAAUUACAAGUUUUAUAACUACAAGUUACUCAUGUAAAUCACUUUUUAAAAAGCUUUUAAAAUCCGUUGUAAAUACUUAUUGAACACUGCCUAUCCUUUAAAACGAAUUUAAAUCUUUAAAACCCCAUUAAGAUGUCUUUAAAAUCCCUUGUAAAAACAUAUCUAACACUGCCUAUCUUUUAAAAACGGCUAAAAAUCUUUAAAACACGAUUUAUAAGCUUUUAAAAUCCCUUGUAAAAACACAUACCUUUUCUAAUUCCUCUUAUUUUCCUUCUUCCUCUUGCUUUUCUUCUUCCUGCUCCUUUUUUUCGUCCUCUUCUUUUUGUUCUUCUCUAGUAUAACUGGCAGGAACUCUUUCGAUGCCUAAAUAGCCCUCCAGCCUUCCAACUUUCUUCUUAAGAACCUCACAAUUUUCAUAUACCAGUUUUACCUUCUUACCAA
rnacentral:sRNA from 1 species